rnacentral:lncRNA from 1 species
CGCAUCCUUUCUCUGAUUUUAGUGACGAGCCAUACAACAACUGGACCUUAGGAGGUGAGUUGAGGCCUUCUUUACUUGGUCUGAAGCACCUAAAGUACCUGGACCUAAGCAUGAACAAUUUUGGAGGCAUUAGUAUUCCAGAAUUCAUGGGGUCAUUCCAUCAACUCCAAUAUCUUAACCUCUCCAGAGCUGGAUUGGGUGGAGUCCUGCCUCACCAGCUGGGAAAUCUCUCCGAUCUGCAGUAUCUAGACUUAUACAAUGACUUGGAUCCCAAUUUUGUGGUUCGGGUCCGUGAAUUUAGCAUUGGUGAUGCACUCUGGAUUUCUCACCUUUCUUCUCUAAAGCAUCUCAACCUGAAGAGUGUUAACUUUCAAAAUGGUACUCACUGGCUGGAAGCUCUGAACAUGCUUCCUUCUAUCGUGGAGAUAUACUUAUCUCUCUGUGAAAUUCCAAGUGUUCCCCUCUCUCUUCCGCAUGUGAACUUUACAUCACUAUCUGUUCUUGAUUUGUCCUAUAAUUUCAUUAGCUCUACGAUACCCUCUUGGUUAUUCAACAUAAGUGGCCUUGAGCAUCUUGAUCUCAGUGAUAACUUAUUUCAGGGUAAUAUUCCACCAGCCUUUGGUAACUUGGCUUCCCUCAAGGGCCUUAAUUUAGCUAACAAUUUUCGUCUUCAAGGAGGAAUACCCACUUCCUUCAAAAAUCUGUGCAAGUUGCAGAAUUUAAUAUUGUCAGGCAUCAAUAUCAGCAAAGAUUUGUUAGAACUCGAUGAAAUUUUCUCUGGUUGCAUCAAGAUGAGCCUAGAGGUUCUAAGCUUAGCUAGAACGAAUAUUAGUGGGCAGUUGCCUGAAUGGUUAUUCCAACUAGCGUCACUCCAAGAGCUCUAUCUUCAUCGAAAUCAACUGAAUGGAACUAUACCAGAAAGCUUGGGACAGCUGUCUCAGCUAGUUGUUUUGGACCUUUGGUACAACCAUUUGGAGGGUGUAAUGUCUGAGGCGCAUUUUGGAAACCUCACAGAAUUGAAAUACUUAACUUUGUCGUCCAACUCCUUGGCUCUGAAGGUCAAGAGCAAUUGGCUUCCUCCCUUCCGGCUAGAAUCCCUUUGGAUGGGCUCCUGCAAACUGGGUCCCGAGUUCCCUGCAUGGCUCCAGUCGCAAAUAAAUAUUUCAGAAAUUGUUAUGUCUAAUGCUAGUAUUAUUGAUGCUAUGCCAAACUGGUUUUGGAGCUUAAUUUCCACGGCAGUGUACGUGAGUGUCUCCGGCAAUCAGAUCAGUGGCCACGUACCCAAUUUGUUGCAUUUAAACAACCUCUACGGGUUGGAUUUAAGUUCAAACUACUUCGAGGGUCCUCUUCCAUAUUUUCCUCCUGGAUUGUCUUUAUUAGAUCUGUCAAACAAUUCAUUUUCAGGAACAAUUUCACUUGCCAUCAUCAUGAAUAUGCCUAACCUCGUAUAUUUAUCGCUUUCGGAAAACAAUUUAAGCGGUGAAAUUCCCUUCUCUAUAUGCCAACUGCAGGUCUUGUGGAUUCUUGAUCUUUCAAAAAAUAUGUUGUCAGGAGAGCUCCCCAAUUGCUGGAAUAAUUCUUCCCCAAUUGAAGUUAUGGAUUUUUCAAGAAACAACAUAUCUGGAGUUAUUCCUGAGUCGAUAUGUUCCUUAGUAUCGCUUCAGUCGUUGCACUUGAGCAAUAACAGUCUAUCUGGAGAGCUGCCUUUGUCCUUGAAGGAUUGUGGGAAAUUAAUCCUUCUUGAUGCCGGACAUAAUGAUUUGAAAGGUGAAAUUCAAACCUGGAUAGGUGAAAGUUUAACUAGUCUGCGGUUCCUCAAUCUGCGAUCAAAUAUGUUGGCCGGAGAUGUUCCUCCAAAUCUUUCAAGAUUGAGUGCUCUCCAAUUUCUCGACCUUGCAGAUAAUGAGCUAUCGGGAACUAUUCCAAGGAGCUUUGGAAAUUUUACUGCCAUGAAAGUAAUUGAAAAUUUUUCGAGUUGGAGGACAGGUCAAAUUAGAUAUAAGGAGCAGAUGUUUAUAACAACUAAAGGAAACACUCGAGCGUAUGAUGUGUCGCUUUCGCUUAUCAAUAUCUUGGACCUCUCGGACAAUAACUUAUUUGGAGGAGUACCUGAAGAACUCACAAGUCUUUUUGGCUUAUUCAGCUUAAAUUUAUCUGGAAACCAUUUCACAGGAGAAAUCAUUGAAAAUAUCAGUAAAUUACAACAGUUGGAGUCCCUUGACUUGUCAAGGAACAACUUUUCUGGCACAAUUCCUUCGAGCCUCGCUGCCCUGACUUCUUUGGCUCACUUGAACCUCUCAUACAACAACUUGUCAGGGGAAAUUCCUCUUGGUAAUCAACUUCUGACCUUCAAUGAUCCAUCUAUCUAUAUUGGCAAUCCUGGUCUUUGUGGGUUUCCUCUGAAUCAAAGUUGCAAAGACAAUGAGACAGCACAAGGUCGAAGUAAUGCAGAUGACAGAGAUGACAACGAGAUGAUAUGGUUCUACAUGAGCAUGGCACCAGGAUUUGUUGUUGGUUUCUGGGCAGUCUGGGGUACAUUGAUACUAAACAAGAAUUGGAACCUUUACUACUUCAGAUUUAUAGACAAUAUACUUGACAAAGUGUAUGUGUUCACCGUACUGAAAGUUUCUAGGAUCAGAAAACGUUGUUGUUUCCAACAAGGAUGAUAAAUUUGAACAUCAAUAUAUGCUGUAUGAGAGUUCAUCUCGUUAAUAUCAUAUCAUCAGCUUGAAUAAAAUUUAAUACUUCUGGACUUGUAUACAAGUAAGUCAUGCACUCUCAAUUUUGAUCAUUUCUGUCAAGUUCGCAGUACCAUAUGAAGUGUUCUAAUUCUGGGGACUGCCAAAAAGCUUGCACCUUUUAAUUAGUUUUUCCAAAAUAGACACCCCUUUUUUAGUUGUUCAGUUUGGCAGAAAUGAAAGGAGGUUAAAACUUUUACGAAGAUAUAGAUAGAAUUUCUGCAGCUGCGACAGAUGGAGCUGUUUAAUAUGAUCUACUCAUGUAAUGAUCCUCUUGUGUUUGAGAUGCUUGUCUUCAUCAAUCAAAUACAUAUUGGAUGCAUCAUAAGCUCAAGUCCACCAAAUGUGCAGCUGCUUGAUCAUCUUGGAUCUCAUGCUCAGAUCUUUUCACUUGAUGAGUCUCCCAUUAAUGGGGGACAUGCUGCUGCAGAUGAUGGAAUUGGGCCGAAGAGGCUUUCACACGCAUGUCAAUGUGACAAGGAUGAUCUGUGCAUGCAGGAAUAAUCCAUUUAUGAUAUACAGAGUGUGGCCCCUCUCUGAGCCGCUCACAUUGAAUUUUGCCAUGGAUUCUGUGUUAUGACUCGGGAUGUAGACGAGCUUCAUUUGAUUACCUGUUGCCAUUAGCACUCAAACGUAAGCAAAGUUCAUAGGAAUGUAAUUCUUGGUUCAAACUGUUUUGUAGACGCAAAACAAAGAAGAGGUGUUACAUCAACAUUUUCUUAUGGAUCUAAUUAUCACCCUCCAUAAAUAAGAGUGAUUAAGAUCAGGAGUGAAUCGAGAUUAAUAAUUUUUCUAGUAUCCAAUAAAUAAAAAAUUAUGUAUUUUUAUUUAAUUAUAGACAUUAUCUUGUACAAAACUCGAGAAUUGAUUUUAAAUAAUUGUUAUUAUUUUUGUAAAUAAAAAGAUCUAUUGCUCAAAAGAUAAUGUGUUAUUUAUAGAAAUGUAAGUUUGACUAGAAAUCCCACCACGAGAGAUUUCUUGAAAUAUAUUAAAAAUUAAUUAUUUUGAUCAUCUUGGCUAAACAAAAAAAUGUUGGUAAAAGGAAAACUUAGGUACUAAGAUAUCAAGUUGGUAUCAUCAGCAAGAAUUGUAUAAAUUAGAGAGUCCAAUUGAUAUAGAUGAGAAGGUAUGACAUGAGAAGAUUAUUAAUAUGGUUUAAUUGUUAAUAAUUCAUAAAUACUAGGUCGUAUUUAAUAUUAUUUCUUAAUUUAUAAAUGUCAUCGGCUCAUGUUAAUCUUUUCUGUAUCGUUCUAAUUUUAUUGGAUGUUUCUAGGUUAUGCUGGGCUUUGACGAAGAUAUCAAGUGAAAAAGUUUAUAAUAUCUUGAUUUAUAGAGUAGACAUAAUUAAGAUUGAUUUAUAAAGAUAUGAUGGACUUACUAUUAUUAAUUUUAACUUAAACACUUUAAUCAAUGGUUUAAGUUUUAAUAGCUCAUUAGUUUGUUAAGAGUAUCGACACAAUGACAGGGAGAUACAUGAUUAAGCUAGUCUCACACAAUGAUAGAGUGAUGCAUGGUUAAUCCCUUUAUGCAAGAUUUACUUUUUUAACAUGAGAUGAUCAUUGUUUUCUUUGUUUUUCAUGAGUAAAGUUAGCAUGUUCUCGAAGAUAAAAGAAAAAAAAAUUGACACGACAAGAGAGGAAUGGUAGCAACAGAUUCUGAACACAAACUAAGAUUCAAAGAUGAUGCAACCUUGCUGUUGCAAAAGUAGAUGAGUAACUUGGCUCUGAUAGCUGGAAUUGAAGGUCUUCCUUCCUCUUGUUCUGCUCAGUUGCAUUAUCAUGUCAAUUUCCAGGAGAGUUUCCCAGCGACUGCUGAUCGCUGUCUUCUUGGUGACCACAAAUCUUGUCUUUCUUUUAUUCGUGUUAAUAAUGGUUGUCUGAUAGCUACAAAUUUCUCCUAUUUAGCAGUUCUUAGGAAAUUCUCAAAACCUUCACAUUCAAGAAGAUGCUGGAGUCUUUAGAUGAAAGCUAUUCCAACUUUGGGACUCGUCAAAAUCAGAAGUCAUAGUUGACUGACUUGAGGAUAGACAACAAUAUGAAAUGAAGAACAAGUGCAUGAUAUUGGCAGACAGCCUAAUUGUUGAAGGUUUCUUGGUCUACUCUUUGAAUCCGUCAGUUGAGUAGUUUCAGACUAACGGAGGAUGAUCCAAACAGGGCAUGAUAAUAAUAUUUUGUGUAUUGCAAGCUGUCCACCGCAGAUUUCUCAUGAUUAAUCUUAAGAUAAGCUGCGUAUUUUUAUUAUCUGUAAUCUAAGAUAAUUGUGUUGGUGUGAGAUGAUCCACUUUGAUCAAGUACACAAUUUCCCUCCCAAUCGAUGGAAUCAUGGUUGUGGUAAUAAUUGUUUUCAGGUGUAUGCAAAAAGGCAAAUCUACCUGUUCUGUGAAAUUUCUUGCCAGUUUCUAUGCACUACCGGUGCCAGAAAUAUGAAAAUCUAAUUAAAUACCUUGACGAAUUAAGCUGCCAUUAUGGUUGUUUUUCUAGUUUCUUGGACUCGUUUUAGACAUUACAAGUGUAUGACACUGGAUUUGCUCAGUAGAACAUCAUGGACGACCUUCUAUCAUUGUCAACCUAGAACAUCGNNNNNNNNNNNNNNNNNNNNNNNNNNNNNNNNNNNNNNNNNNNNNNNNNNNNNNNNNNNNNNNNNNNNNNNNNNNNNNNNNNNNNNNNNNNNNNNNNNNNNNNNNNNNNNNNNNNNNNNNNNNNNNNNNNNNNNNNNNNNNNNNNNNNNNNNNNNNNNNNNNNNNNNNNNNNNNNNNNNNNNNGUGCAGCAAUCAUACUGGGCAUGUCGUCAAGCUGGACCUCCAGAAUCCGCAUCCUUUCUCGGAUUUUGGUGACGAGCCAUACAACAACUGGACCUUAGGAGGUGAGUUGAGGCCUUCUUUACUUGGUCUGAAACACCUGAAGUACCUGGACCUAAGCAUGAACGAUUUUGGAGGCAUUAAUAUUCCAGAAUUCAUGGGGUCAUUCCAUCAACUCCAAUAUCUUAACCUCUCCAGAGCUGGAUUGGGUGGACUCCUGCCUCACCAGCUGGGAAAUCUCUCCAAUCUGCAGUAUCUAGACUUAUCCAAUGACUUGGAUCCCAAUUUUGUGGUUCCGGUCCGUGAAUUUAGCAUUGGUGAUGCACUCUGGAUUUCUCACCUUUCUUCUCUAAAGCAUCUCAACCUGAAGAGUGUUAACUUUCAAAAUGGUACGCACUGGCUGGAAGCUCUGAACAUGCUUCCUUCUAUUCUGGAGAUAUACUUAUCUCUCUGCGAAAUUGGAAGUGUUCCCCACUCUCUUCCGCAUGUGAACUUUACAUCACUGUCUGUUCUUGAUUUGUCCUAUAAUUUCAUUAGCUCUACGAUACCCUCUUGGUUAUUCAACAUAAGUGGCCUUGAGCAUCUUGAUCUUAGUUCGAACAACCUUCAGGGUAAUAUUCCACCGACCUUUGGUAACUUGGCUUCCCUCGAGGAACUUAAUUUAGCUAACAAUCCUCUUCAAGGAGGAAUACCAACUUCCUUCAAAAAUCUGUGCAAGUUGCAGAAUUUAAUAUUGGCAGGCAUCAAUAUCAGCAAAGAUUUGUUAGGCCUUGAUGAAAGUUUUUCUGGUUGCGUCAAGAUGAGCCUAGAGGUUCUAGGCUUAUCCGGCACGAAUAUUAGUGGGCAGUUGCCUGAAUGGUUAUUCCAAUUCAGGAAGCUUAAAUCACUCCAGUUGAAGCAGAAUCUGAUUUCUGGGCCUAUUCCUGUAUCAAUUGGACAACUAGCAUCACUCCAAGAGCUCUUUCUUGGUCAAAAUCAAUUGAACGAAACAAUACCAGAAAGCGUGGGGUGGCUGUCUCAGCUUGUUUCUUUGGACCUUGAGCACAACAAUUUGGAGGGUGUAAUGUCUGAGGCGCAUUUUGGAAACCUCACAGAAUUGAAAGACUUGUAUUUGUCGUCCAACCCCUUGGCUCUAAAGGUCAAGAGCAAUUGGCUUCCUCCCUUCCAGCUUGAAUCCCUUCGGAUGGACUCUUGCAAACAGGGUCCUGAGUUCCCUGCAUGGCUCCAGUCGCAAAAAAAUAUUUCAGAAAUUGUUAUGUCUAAUGCUAGUAUUAUUGAUGCUAUGCCAGACUGGUUUUGGAGCUUAAUUUCCACAGCAGAGUACGUGAGUUUCUCCGGCAAUCAGAUCAGUGGCCACGUACCAAAUUUAUUGCAUUUAAACAACCUCAUCGAGUUGGAUUUAAGUUCAAACUACUUGGAGGGUCCUCUUCCAUAUUUUCCUCCUAGAUUGGAAGCAUUAGAUCUAUCAAACAAUUCAUUUUCAGGAACAAUUUCACUUGCCAUCAUCAUGAAUAUGCUAAACCUCAUGUAUUUAUCAUUUUCAGAAAACAAUUUAAGUGGUGAAAUUCCCUUCUCUAUAUGCAAACUGUCGGUCUUACAGUUUCUUGAUCUUUCAAAAAAUAUGUUAUCAGGAGAGCUCCCCAGUUGCUGGAAUGAUUCUUCCCCAAUUGAAUUUAUAGAUUUUUCAAGCAACAACAUAUCUGGAGUUAUUCCUGAGUCAAUAUGUUCCAUAGCAUCGCUUCAGUCGUUGCACUUGAGCAAUAACAGUCUAUCUGGAGAGCUGCCUUUGCCCUUGAAGGACUGUGGGAAAUUAUACCUUCUUGAUGCCGGAUAUAAUAAUUUGAAAGGUGAAAUUCCAACCUGGAUAGGUGAAAGUUUAACUAGUCUGAGGUUCCUCAAUCUGCGAUCAAAUAUGUUGGUCGGAGAUAUUCCUCCAAAUCUUUCAAGAUUGAGUGCUCUCCAAUUUCUCGACCUUGCGGGUAAUGAGCUAUCGGGUACUAUUCCAAGGAGCUUUGGAAAUUUUACUGCCAUGAAAGUAAUUGAAAAUUUUUCAAGUUCGACGACAGAUCAAAUUAGAUAUAAGGAGCAUAUGUUUAUUACAACUAAAGGAGACACUCAAGACUAUGGGAAGUCACUUUCGCUUAUGAAUAUUUUGGACCUCUCGGAUAAUAACUUAUUCGGAGGAGUACCUAAAGAAGUCACAAGUCUUUUUGGCUUAUUCAGCUUAAAUUUAUCUGGAAACCAUUUCACAGGAGAAAUCACUGAAAGUAUCAGUAAAUUACAACAAUUGGAGUCCCUUGACUUGUCAAGAAACAACUUUUCUGGCACAAUUCCUUCUAGCCUCGCUGCCUUGACUUAUUUGGCUCACUUGAACCUGUCAUACAACAACUUGUCAGGGGAAAUUCCUCUUGGUAAUCAACUUCUGACUUUCAAUGAUCCAUCGAUCUAUAUUGGCAAUCCUGAUCUUUGUGGGUUUCCUCUGAAUCAAAGUUGCAAAGAUAGUGAGACAGCACAAAGUCAAAGUAAUACAGAUGAUAGAGAUGAGAAUGAGAUGAUAUGGUUCUACACGAGCAUGGCACCAGGAUUUGUUGUUGGUUUCUGGGCAGUCUGGGGUACCUUAAUACUUAACAAGAAUUGGAACCUUUACUAUUUCCGAUUUAUAGACAACAUGCUUGACAAAGUAUAUGUGUUUAUCGUACUGAAAGUUUCUAGGAUCAGAAAACGUUGUUGUUCCCAACAAGGAUGAUAAAUUUGAACAUCAAUAUCUGCUGUAUGAGAGUUCAUCUCGUUAAUAUCAUAUCAUCAGCUUGAAUAAAUUUUAAUACUUCUGGACUUCUAUACAAGUAAGUCAUGCACUCUCAAUUUUGAUCAUUUCUGUCUAGAUAGCAGUACCAUAUGAAGUGUUCUAAUCUUGGGGGAUUGCCAGAAAGCUUGCACCUUUUAAUUAGUUUUUCCAAAAUAGACACCCCUUUUUUAGUUGUUCAGUUUGGCAGAAAUGAAAGGAGGUUAAAACUUUUACGAAGAUAUACAUAGAAUUUAUGGUUUUAUUUUCCUUCUUUCUUUUUCAUCCUCUAUUUUCCCAAGUUCAUAGUAUCUACUUUCAUCAAAUGCAUUUGCAUGUCUUGUUCUACCCAAGCAUUACACGCUCAAAACUUAUUCGAUUGCGAUCACAAGUUCGGCUGCAAAAGAUUUGACCACCUUAUUCGAUUAGUUUAACUCUUAUUGAACUUAUGCACAGGUGUUUCUACCAUACGCUACUCUUGUUUAUGUAAAUCCAGUGUCAGUAUAUCUAGAAUCAGAUUUCAUUUUACAUUACUAAAUUUUUCUAGAGAUCAAGGUUUAAAUGAUCAUUAACCCUCCCUAGAGUCCACAUUGGUGAGAGCCUCUCAAGCAAAGGUACGUCUUCUUCUAAAUCUCUUCAAAUAUUAAAUUUAUCUCACAUAAAAGAGAUUUUAUAUAUUAAUGCAGUCUGAAUUUUGAUAUAGAAUAACUUGUCAUCACUGUCAAGAUAACGCGAAUUCUGCCCUACAAAGACAGCCUGAGUUAGAGCAGGAGUAGCUUGGAUCUGAAUUGCAUGUACACUGGAAUUGCUUGUGAUGGUUUCGUAUGUGCUCUCUAACCUUCAAAGUUAUGGUGCUCUCAAAGAGCAAAUAAGGUUCAUACACAAGAGACUUGUUGUAUUUGAGAUGUUACUUGUGCUUCAUGCUUUGAGUCUUACUGUAAGUUUGUAUCCUCCAAACUGUACACUGCUAGAACUAUCCGACCGAAGAAGCCAUGGAUGCAUCUGCAGUUGCAACAGAUGGAGCUGUUUAAUAUGAUCUACUCAUGUAAUGAUCCUCUUGUGUUUGAGAUGCUUGUCUUCAUCAAUCAAAUACAAAUUGGUUGCAUCAUAAGCUCAAGUCCACCAAAUGUGCAGCUGCAUGAUCUUCUUGGAUCUCAUGCUCAGAUCUUUUCAGUUGAUGAGUCUCCCAUUAAUGGGGGACAUGCUGGUGCAGCUCAUGGAAUUGGGCCGAAGAGGCUUUCGCAUGCAGGAAUAAUCCAUUUAUGAUCAACAGAGUGUGGCCCCUCUCCGAGCCGCUCACAUUGAAGUUUGCCAUGGAUUCUGUGUCAUGACUCGGGAUGUAUACGAGCUUCAUUUGAUUACCUGUUGCCAUUAGCACUCAAAUGUAAGCAAAGUUCAUAAGAAUGUAAUUCUUGGUUCAAACUGUUUUGUGGACGCAAAACAAAGAAGAGGUGUUACAUCAACAUUUUCUUAUGGAUCUAAUUAUCACCCUCCAUAAAUAAGAGUGAUUAAGAUCAGGAGUGAAUCGAGAUUAAUAAUUUUUCUAGUAUCCAAUAAAUACAAAAUUAUGUAUUUUGAUUUAAUUAUAGACAUUAUCUUGUACAAAACUCGAGAAUUGAUUUUAAAUAAUUGUUAUUAUUUUUAUAAAUAAAAAUAUCUAUUGCUCAAAGAUAAUGUGUUAUUUAUAGAAAGGUUAGUUUGACUAGAAAUCCCACCACGAGAGAUUUCUUGAAAUAUAUUAAAAAUUAAUUAUUUUGAUCAUCUUGGCUAAACAAAAAAAUGUUGGUAAAAGGAAAACUUAGGUACUAAGACAUCAAGUUGGUAUCAUCAGCAAGAUUUGUAUAAAUUAGAGAGUCCAAUACACAAUCAAAACUGGAAAUUUAAACUUUAGAAUUACAAUCCGUAUUGUUAUAUUUCACAUAUAUGUUAUUCCCAAUUUAUCAAAGGACCAUUCAUAUUUAGAUCAGGAUCGAUGCCCUUCAAUUAUAAUUGUAAUUGUAAUUAGAUCUAUCUAUUCCUUACCACCUAGCUCCGAUUAACAUUUUAUUUUGGGUCAUGAUUCGAGGAGCACGUAACAAAAGACAUUCACAAGCUUCGAAACAUCAAUUACUCUCAUGUUUGUUCUUGAAUUCUACAACUAGAAAUCUGAUCGUAAUAAAUUUUAAGUGCCAAAAGGAGACGUUUAAAGAUAAGAGAAUGAAUAUUAUUAUUUAUCUUUUUUUAAAUAUAUUGAAAACUAAUUAUUUUGACCAUAGAGUUGGUAUUAUCAACAAAAUUUGUAUAAAUUAGAAAGUCUUGUACACAAUAAAUUUAAAAAUAAUUUCAAGGAACAAGAUUUGAGUAGCCUUUGUGGAUUUGAGUAGAAGGUAUAGAUUUAUUAUUUAUGGAAAUAGAACUUAUUGGUGAAAUCGAUAGGAAAUAUACUCAUUGGCCUUAUAGAGAAUCAAAAGAUUUUUUUAAAAAAACUAAAAAACAUAAGUGGUCAACUAAUUAGUUUCAUAAUUUUCUUUCCGUGUGUUGUUCUAUGAUUUGUUAUUAUUAUUGUUAUAGAUGAGAAGGUAUGAUAUAAGAAGACUAUAAAUAUGGUUUAAUUGUUAAUAAUUCAUAAAUACUAGGUUGUAUCUAAUACUAUUUCUUAUUUAUACAUGUCAACGGCUCAUAUUAAUUUUUUCUGUAUCGUUCUAAUUUUAUUAGAUGUUUCUGAGUUAUACUGGAUUUUGACGAAGAUAUUAAGUGAAAGAGUUGGUAAUAUCCUGAUUUAUCUUACGGAUAUGAGUAAGAUUGACUUAUAAAGAUAUGAUUGACUUGCUAUUAUUAAUUCAAACUUAAACACUUUAAUCAAUGAUUUGAGUUUUAAUAGCUUAUUAGUUUGUUAAGAGUAUCGACACGGAGAUACAUGAUUAAUCUAGUCUCACACAAUGAUAGAGUGAUGCAUAGUUAAUCCCUUUAUGCAAGAUUUACUUUUUUAACAUGAGAUGAUCAUUGUUUUCUUUGUUUUUCAUGAGUAAAGUUAGCAAGUUCUCGAAGAUAAAGAAAAAAAAAAUUGACGAGAGGAACAGUAGCAACAGAUUCUGAUCACAACCUAAGAUUCAAAGAUGAUGCAACCUUGCUGUUGCAAUAGUAGAUGAGACACUUGCUUUUGUUCGCAAUCGUCAGUCUUCCUUGGUCUUUCUAUUGAAAAGUACAAGGAAACAACUUGGCUCUGUUAGCUGGGAUUUAAGGUCUUCCUUCCUCUUGUUCAGUUGCAUUAUCAUGUCAAUUUCCAGGAGAGUUUCCCAGCGACUGCUGAUCGCUGUCUUUUUGGUGACCACAAAUCUUGUCUUUCUUUUAUUCGUGUUAAUAAUGGUUGUCUGAUAGCUACAAAUUUCUCCUAUUUAGCAGUUCUCAGGAAAUUCUCAAAACCUUCACAUUCAAGAAGAUGCUGGAGUCUUUAGAUGAAAGCUAUUCCAACUUUGGGACUCGUCAAAAUCAGAAGUCAUAGUUGACUGACUUGGGGAUAGACAACAAUAUGAAAUGAAGAACAAGUGCAUGAUAUUGGCAGACAGCCUAAUAGUUGAAGAUUUCUUGGUCUACUCUUUGAAUCCGUCAGUUGAAUAGUUUCAGACUAAUGGAGGAUGAUCCAAACAGGGCAUGAUAAGAUUUUGUGUAUUGCAAGCUGUCUACCGCAGAUUUCUCAUGAUUAAUCUUAAGAUAAGCUGCGUAUUUUUAUUAUAUGUAAUCUAAGAUAAUUGUGUUGGUGUGAGAUGAUCCACUGUGAUCAUGUAUACAAUUUUCCUCACAAUUGAUGGAAUCGUGGUCAUUGGUAAUAAUUAUUUUCAGGUGUAUUAAAAGGACAAAUCGAUCUGUUCUGUGAAAUUUCUUGCCAGUUUCUAUGCACUACCGGUGCCAGAAAUAUGAAAAUCUAAUUAAAUACCUUGACGAAUUAAGCUGCCAUUAUUGUUGUUUUUCAAGUUUCUUGGACUCAUUUUAGACAUUACAAGUGUAUGACAAUGGAUUUGCUCAGUAGAACAUCAUGGACACCUUCUAUCAUUGUCAACCUAGAAAAUGGNNNNNNNNNNNNNNNNNNNNNNNNNNNNNNNNNNNNNNNNNNNNNNNNNNNNNNNNNNNNNNNNNNNNNNNNNNNNNNNNNNNNNNNNNNNNNNNNNNNNNNNNNNNNNNNNNNNNNNNNNNNNNNNNNNNNNNNNNNNNNNNNNNNNNNNNNNNNNNNNNNNNNNNNNNNNNNNNNNNNNNNNNNNNNNNNNNNNNNNNNNNNNNNNNNNNNNNNNNNNNNNNNNNNNNNNNNNNNNNNNNNNNNNNNNNNNNNNNNNNNNNNNNNNNNNNNNNNNNNNNNNNNNNNNNNNNNNNNNNNNNNNNNNNNNNNNNNNNNNNNNNNNNNNNNNNNNNNNNNNNNNNNNNNNNNNNNNNNNNNNNNNNNNNNNNNNNNNNNNNNNNNNNUUGCAGCAAUCAUACUGGGCAUGUCGUCAAGCUGGACCUCCACAAUCCGCCUCCUUUAUCUUAUGUUGGUGGCGAGGCAUACAACAACUGGACCUUAGGAGGUGAGUUGAGGCCUUCUUUACUUGGUCUGAAGCACCUAAAGUACCUGGACCUAAGCAUGAACAAUUUUGGAGGCAUUAGUAUUCCAGAAUUCAUGGGGUCAUUCCAUAAUCUCCAAUAUCUUAUCCUCUCCAGUGCUGGAUUGGGUGGACUCCUACCUCACCAGCUGGGAAAUCUCUCCAAUCUGCAGUAUCUAGACUUAUACAAUGACAUUUUUGUGGCUCCGGUCCAUGAAUUUAGCAUUGGUGAUGCACUCUGGAUUUCUCACCUUUCUUCUCUAAAGCAUCUCAACCUGAACAGUGUUAACUUUCAAAAUGGUACUCACUGGCUGGAAGCUCUGAACAUGCU